CUGAAACCACGACAACAAAGAAAACGCUUUUCUUUACCAUUGAUGAUGUUUUCUGUGUUCCCUGCAGGUGGAAUCACGCUUUUAAGAACCAGAUCACCACCCUGCAGAGCCAGGCCAAAAACCGGGCCAACCCCAAACGCAGCGAGGUCCAGGCCAACCUGUCGCUGUGGAAGCAGCGAGUGGUUUCUACACACAGAAACAAGAUGGCGGCGGUAGGAGCAUUAGCUUCUGGACCCGUCGUUGUGUGAUAGACCGGUGGAUCCGGUAGGAUGAACCUCAUUGCUCAGUACCUCCGACAGGCAGAGGCCCUGAAGGCGGACAUGACAGGUAAGAGUUCUGCCCCAUCACCUCAAAACAUCCUCUAACAACAUCUUCACUAACAGAUCUUCUUUAGUUCACGAGAUGUUCUGUAGUGCACGAGAUGUUCUGUAGUGCACGAGAUGUUCUGUAGUGCACUAGACAGGGUUCGUACGGUCAUGGAAAACCUGGAAAAGUCAUGGAAUUUUAAAAUGGUUAUUGGAAAAAACAAAAUCCCAAAAGUUUUGGAAAAGUCAUGGAAAUGUGUUAUAUUCAUAUUUUCAUGUCGUUCAUUUACGGUGAGUUGUCAGCCAGUGUUUGUCAGAUUGGAGUGAGACGAGGAGAAAAGGUGACGUCGUGAUCUUCACAAUAGAACAUCUUUGAUGUGU